UGCAAGUCAUUGUAUUUUGCAUCUGAGUUUACCUUCAGGCACAAAUCCAAACCGAAGGACAAAGAUUUAAAAAAAAAAAAAAAAAGAACAGUGUUGCCUCACCUUUGGACGGCAGCUCAGCAUGGAUCCAAGGCAGAUGUGGCCCUGUGUCUCUAAGAGAGAAGAGACUGAGUAUCAAUGAUCCUUUGCAAGAAGGAACAUCUGGCACAGUCUUAAAGAUGACAAAUGACACUGGCAUCAGAGUAAUGUACAAAGACAAGCAAGUUUUAUAUUUUAUUGCCGUUAUGUAAUGAUUGACUGGAAGAGCUCAUACGCUUAGUUGCAGGUUGAGUUGUUUAAAGGCAAUAUUGACCUUCGUUUUCUAUUUUGAAUGUUUUGGCACAGUUAGAGCCUUUUGCAAGCACAGUGUGUCAUUGCUCAGGUGUGUUACCUGUUUUGAUAAGGUGGAGUUUGGGUUGACAUGAAAGCAAUCAAGAACACCUGUAGAGCAGGGGGAUCAAACUCAUUUUAAUUUUGGGCCAAAUCAAGAUCAUGGACGCUCUUAAAGGGCCGGUUGUGCCAGAAUGUAUGGAUAAAACAUAUGAACAUGCUUUUAAAAUAUUAAUAAAUUCUUAAAAUUACAUUAUGUUGACCAUCUUUUCCCAUUGAUCAGUCCCUCCAGGGUUGUGCGAUUGCUUUUGUGAUUAUUUGCAAUAAAAGUCAAAUAUUUGUGAUACUAAUUUAGAAACAUUUGUGACAAUUGCACAUGUGAAUGACGGUAAAUUCGCCAUUUUAUUCCUCACCAGUAUAGAUCAUGGAGUGUAAUUUGAAAUCAAUUAAAGCUGAGGCAGCUGUUUAGUACAAAUAAGAAUAUUAGCAUCACCUGAACUCAAUGUUUUUCAUAAUUUUUGCCAAAAAAAAAUCUGCAAUAAUUAGCAUUAGCACAAGAAAAGUGUGGGAAUUUGUGGAUUUAGAAUUUUCACAAAAGUUUGCAAAAAAACCCCCCCAAAAAACUGGAGUUAUUAACUGAUAUAAUCUGGCAGUAAGUAGUUAAAAACUGCUUUCAUGUGAAUGAUAAAACAAUACUUAAGCAGGCCGUCAUCUUGGCUGUUCUAUUUAUCCAUCCCUCUAAAGUCUAGAGGGCCAUAUAAAAAACUAUGGCGGGCCGGAUUUGGCCCGCGGGCCACGAGUUUGACACGUGUGCUAUAGAGUGAUAGUUUUCUUUUUCAGAAUUUAGGUAAUUACAAAAAACUGGGGACAUGAAGGGAUAUAAAUAAAUCCUCUGAACUGCACAAGCAGUGUCAUGUAAUGUUAGUGAUUAUAUAUAUAUAUAUAUAUAUAUAUAUAUAUAUAUAUAUAUAUUUAA